GGGCUCACUUCAGCAGCACAUAUACUUAAAYUGAAAUGAUACAGAGAAGAUUAGCAUGGCCCCUGCACAAGGAUGACACGCAAAUUCGUGAAGCACUCCGUUUUUUU
ensembl:snRNA U6 U6 spliceosomal RNA